CAUAGAGGAACAAAGGCUAAGAGCAUCACGUCCUGUGAUAAUGCCUUCGUGACCAACAUUGUGUUGG
rnacentral:sRNA from 1 species